UACGUAGGGUGCAAGCGUUGUCCGGAAUUAUUGGGCGUAAAGAGCUUGUAGGCGGUUUGUCGCGUCUGCUGUGAAAUUUCGGGGCUCAACCCCGAGCUUGCAGUGGGUACGGGCAGACUAGAGUGUGGUAGGGGAGACUGGAAUUCCUGGUGUAGCGGUGAAAUGCGCAGAUAUCAGGAGGAACACCGAUGGCGAAGGCAGGUCGCUGGGCCACUACUGACGCUGAGAAGCGAAAGCAUGGGGAGCGAACAGG
rnacentral:rRNA from 1 species